rnacentral:rRNA from 1 species
CCGCCCGUCACACCAUGGGAGUCGAUUGCUCCAGAAGUGGAUGAGCCAACUCGCAAGAGAGGCAGUCCCCAAGGAGUGGUUGGUAACUGGGGUG